UACGUAGGUGGCAAGCGUUGUCCGGAUUUAUUGGGCGUAAAGAGCUCGUAGGCGGCUUGUCACGUCGGAUGUGAAAGCCCGGGGCUUAACUCCGGGUCUGCAUUCGAUACGGGCUAGCUAGAGUGUGGUAGGGGAGAUCGGAAUUCCUGGUGUAGCGGUGAAAUGCGCAGAUAUCAGGAGGAACACCGGUGGCGAAGGCGGAUCUCUGGGCCAUUACUGACGCUGAGGAGCGAAAGCGUGGGGAGCGAACAGG
rnacentral:rRNA from 1 species